ACCCGCUGAACUUAAGCAUAUCAAUAAGCGGAGGAAAAGAAACCAACAGGGACUGCCUUAGUAACGGCGAGUGAAGCGGCAAAAGCUCAAAUUUGAAAUCGGCCACCAGGUCGAGUUGUAAUUUGUAGAUUGUAUCUUGAGAGCGGAUUAAAGUCUGUUGGAACACAGCGCCUUAGAGGGUGACAGCCCCGUAAAAUCUAUUCUCAUUGUAAGAUACUUUCGAAGAGUCGAGUUGUUUGGGAAUGCAGCUCUAAGUGGGAGGUAAAUUCCUUCUAAAGCUAAAUAUUGACGAGAGACCGAUAGCGAACAAGUACUGUGAAGGAAAGAUGAAAAGCACUUUGAAAAGAGAGUGAAAAAGUACGUGAAAUUGUUAAAAGGGAAGGGUAUUGAAUCAGACUUGGUGCUGUUGUUCAACUGUGUUUUGGCACAGUAUACUCAGCAGUACUAGGCCAAGGUGGGGUGUUUGGGAGUGAAAAAGAAGUUGGAACGUAACUCUUCGGAGUGUUAUAGCCUACUUUCAUAGCUCCUCAGGCGCCUCAGGACUGCGCUUCGGCAAGGACCUUGGCAUAAUGAUUCUAUACCGCCCGUCUUGAAACACGGACCAAGGAG
rnacentral:rRNA from 1 species